rnacentral:rRNA from 1 species
UACGUAGGGUGCGAGCGUUAAUCGGAAUUACUGGGCGUAAAGCGUGCGCAGGCGGUUUUGUAAGCCAGAUGUGAAGUCCCCGGGCUUAACCUGGGAAUGGCAUUUGGGACUGCAAGGCUGGAGUGUGGCAGAGGAGACUGGAAUUCCUGGUGUAGCAGUGAAAUGCGUAGAUAUCAGGAGGAACACCGGUGGCGAAGGCGGGUCUCUGGGCCGAUACUGACGCUGAGGAGCGAAAGCGUGGGGAGCGAACAGG